rnacentral:rRNA from 1 species
UGGGGAAUAUUGGGCAAUGGAGGGAACUCUGACCCAGCGACGCCGCGUGCGGGAUGAAGGCCUUCGGGUUGUAAACCGCUUUCAGCAGGGAAGAAGCGAAAGUGACGGUACCUGCAGAAGAAGCACCGGCUAACUAUGUGCCAGCAGCCGCGGUAAUACAUAGGGUGCAAGCGUUGUCCGGAAUUAUUGGGCGUAAAGAGCUCGUAGGUGGUUCGAUACGUCGGAUGUGAAAAUCAGGGGCUCAACCCCUGACCUGCAUCCGGUACGGUCGAGCUAGAGUUUGGUAGGGGAGACUGGAAUUCCUGGUGUAGCGGUGGAAUGCGCAGAUAUCAGGAGGAACACCAAUGGCGAAGGCAGGACUCUGGGCCAUUACUGACACUGAGGAGCGAAAGCGUGGGGAGCGAACAGG